rnacentral:rRNA from 1 species
GCAGCAGUGAGGAAUAUUGCGCAAUGGAGGCAACUCUGACGCAGCCACGCCGCGUGCCGGAUGACGGUCCUAUGGAUUGUAAACGGCUUUUUACAGGGAAGAACCGCUCUGACUCGUCAGGGCCUGACGGUACCUGUGGAAUAAGCACCGGCUAACUCCGUGCCAGCAGCCGCGGUAAUACGGAGGGUGCAAGCGUUGUCCGGAAUUAUUGGGUGUAAAGGGUGUGCAGGCGGAGGUUUAAGUCCGGGGUGAAAUCUUGCCGCUCAACGGUAAAAUGGCCCCGGAUACUGGAUGUCUUGAGUGUGACAGAGGCCGGCGGAAUUUGUAGUGUAGCGGUGAAAUGCACAGAUAUUACGAAGAACACCAGUGGCGUAGGCGGCCGGUUGGGUCACAACUGACGCUGAGGCACGAGAGCGUGGGGAGCGAACAGGAUUAGAUACCCUGGUAGUCCACGCCGUAAACGAUGUAUGCUAGGUGUCGGGGCCGCUACGGCGGGCUCGGUGCCGCAGUAACGCAUUAAGCAACCCUGGACUACGACGUUUU